rnacentral:rRNA from 1 species
CCUACGGGCGGCAGCAGUGAGGAAUAUUGGUCAAUGGUCGGGAGACUGAACCAGCCAAGCCGCGUGAGGGAUGAAGGUACAGAGUAUCGUAAACCUCUUUUGUCAGGGAACAAAGGCGGGGACGUGUCCCCGGAUGAGUGUACCUGAAGAAAAAGCAUCGCCUAACUCCGUGCCAGCAGCCGCGGUAAUAAGGAGGAUGCGAGCGUUAUUCGGAGUUAUUGGGGUUAAGGGGUGCGACGGCGGCUGGUUCAGUCAGCGGUAAAAGCACGGGGCUCAACCCCGGCCCGCCGUUGAAACUGGCAGUCUCGAGUUGGAGAGAAGUAUGCGGAAUGCGCGGUGUAGCGGUGAAAUGCAUAGAUAUCGCGCAGAACUCCGAUUGCGAAGGCAGCAUGCCGGCUCCACACUGACGCUGAGGCACGAAAGCGUGGGUAUCGAACAGGAUUAGAUACCCUUGUAGUC